CUUAUGAAUCUUAAAUGCGGAACUCGCUCAUAUUACUUUUUUCAGUGCAUCACUCACUCUUUCGUCUAGUAUCCAAAGAGAAUUAUUCAAAAGUUCGUUCUAACAGAAAAUUCAGUGUCACGCUUCAUCGAGCGCAUAUUACACGACGUAUUUCACAGCCAGAGGCACUAAAUAUCUAACAACGAGACUGCUUUAGCGCAAGCAAGAAUUUAGCUUCUAGUACUUAACACAUUUCAAGAGAAAGAGAAGUCGUAUACACAUAUAUAAUCUAUACGUACGUGCACGUAUAUACGUAUGCCUUCUACCAACGAUACGCUAUACAAAAGCGUAACCGGUGCAAGGAACUUCCGUCGUUCGAGCAAACCGGAUAAAUGCGGCACUGAGUUAUCGGUGCGAGAGGUGCCUACGUGCAAACAACAGUCGGACCGAACGUUUACGGAUUCGACAUGCGUAUUUGGGCGGAUAUCAACGUUUACUUGAAGCAGUUGGAUAGAUCCGCUCUCAGAGCACAUCACGUAUCUGACUACACAUCGAUUCUCGGAUAAUUAUUCAAAGCAAACGCGACCUCGUGUCGCGGAUCGGUAAUGCAUCGUAUUAGCCGCUUCCUUCUAUGUACAAGUCCAUACGCGCGGAUUUCAACAGACGUAACCUGUCGCGAAACACCACGCUGCGCAGAUGUUUCGACGGAUCUGUGAUCUUAUUCGAUGGGAAUGCAAAUCGGCCUGAUCGGAUUCCGCGAAAACUUCGGACGGAAUUACGUGCUCGAUUAUCG
rnacentral:misc_RNA from 1 species